AAAUAUGAGGGCGAUCUGGUUGGGACAUCUGCCAACGCAUCAAUCUCCAGGGUUGAUUUGGCUAACCUGGCGGGCCAGGUGGGUGUUCCCUUCUUCCCUCAUGGCUCCAACCCUCCUGAAGCUGCAUUCACACCAAGAAGUUGACCGCCCCCGAAAGAGGAGGACCGUGGAAGUAGCUUCCCUCCCCUGGUCGAACCUCCGAGCAAGCUCUCAAGCCUAGUAAGUAAAUACAUGAUUCUGAGAAUUUAUUUACAUGCAUCAUCGCU
rfam:Fukomys damarensis contig135369, whole genome shotgun sequence.